rnacentral:lncRNA from 1 species
GAAAGAAAGAACAAAAUUCUUAGAAAGUGAAAGGAGCACUCAAGAAAGGAUGAGUAGACAUCAAUUGAUUAACAAUGUGGAAAAAGUAGCUACCCUUUCGAGCUAAGAAUCCUUACUAAGAGAUCAUCAAAGCAUAUCAAUAGCAAAAGAAGAAAUCAAAGCUAACUAAUCCAAGCCUUCUGUCAAUGUGAAGAGAAAGAAACAAUAGAGAAUCAGUACUCUUAUAGUGACAAACCCCAAACGAAUAAAAAGAUUUAUGUUAUUUUAAUGGCGGAUGAACAAACCCCAUUUUUCCACAUACUAAAAUCUAGAAGUAAUUUGAACGGAGGGAAAUGAAAGGCUACCCAGCAAAGCAGAAGCGAUGACAAUGCAGACGUUUCUAUUCGCAAGCUGGCAACUUUGAAUCAAACCCAGAAAAAAGGUUCUGGGCUUUUCUGGGAAAAGGAUUUCACUUUCCUCUUCUUCUUCUUCUUCUUCUUCUUCUUCUUCUUCCUUAUUACUCUCUUUCGUUUGUUACUGUUUGUUCAUACUUGAACUGUGAAGCCUGUGAUCAGCGAACAAGCGCUGCGGUUUCUUUUGACUUAUUUUCUUCACAUUUUAGAUAAAUAUUUUUUUCAAAUUAGAUAAAUAUUUUAGUAAUGAUUGUUUUUGUUUACUUUGUAUCAUCCAAAUUAUUUAUUAUAGUUAAAAUUAUUUUAUAGCUCUUAAAGUUUUAUUUUAG